AUUUCUUUCCGAUCCAGCAGUGACCCCACUUCAGCUACGGAUUUAAUGGGUUUUGUUCCAUUAAAACGGAGCAACGUUUUAUUUUAACUGAAUUUUUAAAUUCAAGAUCCUUAUUUAUCACUUUCACGUGGCGUUUUAUUCCAUGUCUGUAAGGUAAGCCAAUUAGAGUCGCCUUGGGUGAAAUGGACGGCAUAUACAUUGGAUAAAUACAUAAAUAAAAUCUGGAAAAAUAAAUUCUUUUUUUCGCUCCAGCACAGGAGACCAAGCAAACCAUCUUGCCAGCUCUUCGUUGGGCAUGGCUCUUACCAGGCGAUGUCGGCGUUCAAACGCUUGAAACCAGAACGGAUCAAGGCGCAGGCUGACAGAACCCUCGCGGCUGUGGCAUCGAAUUCGAAUCUGUCCCCAGCUCUGUUUGUUCUUCCCCCGUGCUCCUGGCUUCCCUGCACACCUUUUCCCCAUCUGCCCACCUUGAGGAAACACCUUAGGGCUCUUCAGCAAAAAAAGCCUUGGUGCAGAGUUCGCCAGGGGAACUCACCGCCACCGGACGUAGAUGCAACCGCCCCUUCUGAGGGGAUUUUGGAACAGGAAGAGCUGGAUUUGGGGAG